rnacentral:misc_RNA from 1 species
UACGUAGGGUGCAAGCGUUGUCCGGAUUUACUGGGUUUAAAGGGUGCGCAGGCGGGCUGUUAAGUCAGUGGUUAAAGCACACGGCUCAACCGUGGGAAUGCCAUUGAUACUGGCAGCCUUGAGUACAGAUGAGGUAGGCGGAAUUCAUAGUGUAGCGGUGAAAUGCAUAGAUACUAUGAGGAACACCAAUUGCGAAGGCAGCUUACUGGACUGUAACUGACGCUGAGGCACGAAAGCGUGGGUAGCGAACAGG